UACGAAGGGGGCUAGCGUUGCUCGGAAUCACUGGGCGUAAAGGGCGCGUAGGCGGCUUUAUAAGUCGGGGGUGAAAGCCUGUGGCUCAACCACAGAAUUGCCUUCGAUACUGUAGAGCUUGAGACCGGAAGAGGUAAGUGGAACUGCGAGUGUAGAGGUGAAAUUCGUAGAUAUUCGCAAGAACACCAGUGGCGAAGGCGGCUGUCUGGUCCGGUUCUGACGCUGAGGCGCGAAAGCGUGGGGAGCAAACAGG
rnacentral:rRNA from 1 species